ACGGCAGCACGGGAGCAAUCCUGGUGGCGAGUGGCGAACGGGUGAGUAAUAUAUCGGAACGUGCCCAGUCGUGGGGGAUAACGCAGCGAAAGCUGUGCUAAUACCGCAUACGAUCUACGGAUGAAAGCGGGGGAUCGCAAGACCUCGCGCGAUUGGAGCGGCCGAUAUCAGAUUAGCUAGUUGGUGGGGUAAAAGCCCACCAAGGCGACGAUCUGUAGCUGGUCUGAGAGGACGACCAGCCACACUGGAACUGAGACACGGUCCAGACUCCUACGGGAGGCAGCAGUGGGGAAUUUUGGACAAUGGGCGCAAGCCUGAUCCAGCAAUGCCGCGUGCAGGAUGAAGGCCUUCGGGUUGUAAACUGCUUUUGUACGGAGCGAAACGGCUUCCCCUAAUACGGGGAGCUAAUGACGGUACCGUAAGAAUAAGCACCGGCUAACUACGUGCCAGCAGCCGCGGUAAUACGUAGGGUGCGAGCGUUAAUCGGAAUUACUGGGCGUAAAGCGUGCGCAGGCGGUUAUAUAAGACAGAUGUGAAAUCCCCGGGCUCAACCUGGGACCUGCAUUUGUGACUGUAUAGCUAGAGUACGGUAGAGGGGGAUGGAAUUCCGCGUGUAGCAGUGAAAUGCGUAGAUAUGCGGAGGAACACCGAUGGCGAAGGCAAUCCCCUGGACCUGUACUGACGCUCAUGCACGAAAGCGUGGGGAGCAAACAGGAUUAGAUACCCUGGUAGUCCACGCCCUAAACGAUGUCAACUGGGUGUUGGGUCUUCACUGACUCAGUAACGAAGCUAACGCGUGAAGUUGACCGCCUGGGGAGUAC
rnacentral:rRNA from 1 species